CCCUCCCUCCCUCCGCGCCCUGCGCCCGCCACCUCCUCCCGCCCUCUGGCUCCCUCCUUCUUCCCGGGCUCCAAUCGCCACCUUCCACCCGCUCCCCGCCCGCGCCGCCUCCUUUCCCCCUCCUCUCCUCCCACUGUCCUUCCCGCGAACGGCUCAGCUCGGGGAGGCAGGCUCCAGCCGAGACUCGCAGACGGACGGAGCUGGCAGCCGGAGCCCGGGAGGGCCUGGCAGCCAGAUCCCCGGGGAAGUCUCGGACCGAGAGGCUGCAGAGGGAGAGGGACGCGGGCGCAGAGAGCCGCGUGAGCCGCACAGACUCCUAAAAGAAGGUGGACACAGAUCCUAAAAGAAGGGACUCAGGGCUGAGGACCCACAGAAGGUUCAAGACUCCCACCCCUGGACGGCUUCAGUCAUCGCCCCGGUGUUCUUGGGUUUUCCCAAUGCAAGUUCUUCUGAUGGCGUAAUCCCAUUCCCUUCUUUUAAAGGCUGAUGUUGGAUAGGAACGUCUGGAAUUAAACUAAUGGGCCGUGGU